rnacentral:rRNA from 1 species
GACGAACGCUGGCGGCGUGCUUAACACAUGCAAGUCGAGCGGGGAACUGUGGAAUGAAGCUUCGGCAGAAUGAAACAGUUUCUAGCGGCGGAUGGGUGAGUAACGCGUGAGCAAUCUGUCCCAGACAGGGGGAUAACAGAUGGAAACAUCUGCUAAUACCGCAUAAGACCACGAGGUCGCAUGGCCUUGAGGUAAAAGAUUUAUCGGUUUGGGGUGAGCUCGCGUCUGAUUAGCUAGUUGGUGAGGUAACGGCCCACCAAGGCGACGAUCAGUAGCCGACCUGAGAGGGUGAUCGGCCACAUUGGAACUGAGACACGGUCCAGACUCCUACGGGAGGCAGCAGUGGGGAAUAUUGGGCAAUGGGCGCAAGCCUGACCCAGCAACGCCGCGUGAAGGAAGAAGGUUUUCGGAUUGUAAACUUCUGUCCUUGGUGACGAAGGAAGUGACGGUAGCCAAGGAGGAAGCCCCGGCUAACUACGUGCCAGCCGCCGCUGUAAUAC